GGGCUGCCUCCCGUUGGGUCCCCAGACCUGUCCGCAGGGAAGGGGGUCAGGGCCAGGGAGCAAGCCCGGGCGGGGCGAGGCCUCAGCAGCCCCCCGGCGGCCAGGUGGGCCGGCAGCCCCGGGCAGGGCCGCAGCGUCCCCCGCGCAGGGCGUCCCGGCUGCGGCUGCGACCGGUGCACGGAGAGCCAGGCGGGUCCUGGGGCCUGGGCAGAGGCGCACAGCCCCCACCCAUGCCCGGGGCGCUGAUUCCGGGAGGGGCGUGGCCCCUGGACACUGCGCCCCGCCCCUGGAUGUCUGGGGAGGGACAGAUUCGGGCCAAGGGCAGAGUCAGGGCAGGGCUGUCCCGGAAACUCAGGGCGGAGUGGACACGAAGAGCCGUGAUUGGGACCCGACGUGGCCGAGAGCCCUGAAGCCCAGAGACGGCGAGCUCCCCGGAGGCCACACGGAGCCGCGAGGGUACUGCCCGCCCGUGGGCGGGGAGAGGGCGUGGCCGGAUGUAGUGGGUGUGGCCAUGGGCGGGGCUGCGGGCGGGAUGGAGACGGUGGGCGGGGCCAUGGGACCGUAACUCUGGCGCUCAGCAGGUCCCGCCCCGCCCGCCUUGGGGGCCGCUGCGGCUGGGGGCGGCCUGGUUCCUCCGCUGCCCGCAGGCCCGCCUCCCGCAGUGACCAGCAGAUGGUGCCAGAGGCCGGCCGAUGCCUGGGCCUUGUCUGCCGCCAAGAGGGAGGGGGGCUGGGGGCGCUGCCAAGAGUGCCAGCCCCCCAGGUGUCCCCCAGGGUCAGCCCCUCUGUCGUGGGCGGUGAAAGGAACAAACAGGAUAUGGACAUAAAAGGCUCGGUGCAGAGCCCUGGACCCCGGACCCCAGGACGUCCUGGGUCUUCUUGCAGCUGGUCAUUGGUUCUAGCAGCCUCUCCUGCCCCCAUACCUUGCAGGAAGCCACUGGGAGGCCCACGGAGCUAAUGUGCAAACACACUGUCCAUCAGCCUCUGGGGGCGCCGCCCGGCCUCCCCGAGGAGCCUUCCCAGUGCCCCACCGAGGCCUGGAGCCGCACCCGGUCACUCUCGGCUGCCAGCCGGGUGCUUGGCUCUUGCAGAGUGGGUAACAAUGCUGGCUUGGCACUUGGAGGGGGGACAUCUC
rnacentral:lncRNA from 1 species